AACGAACGCUGGCGGCAUGCCUAACACAUGCAAGUCGAACGAGACCUUCGGGUCCAGUGGCGCACGGGUGCGUAACGCGUGGGAACCUGCCCUUAGGUUCGGAAUAACUCCCCGAAAGGGGUGCUAAUACCGGAUAAUGUCUUCGGACCAAAGAUUUAUCGCCUUUGGAUGGGCCCGCGUUGGAUUAGCUAGUUGGUAGGGUAAAAGCCUACCAAGGCGACGAUCCAUAGCUGGUCUGAGAGGAUGAUCAGCCACACUGGGACUGAGACACGGCCCAGACUCCUACGGGAGGCAGCAGUGGGGAAUAUUGGACAAUGGGGGAAAGCAUGAUCCAGCAAUGCCGCGUGAGUGAUGAAGGCCUUAGGGUUGUAAAGCUCUUUUACCCGGGAUGAUAAUGACAGUACCGGGAGAAUAAGCUCCGGCUAACUCCGUG
rnacentral:rRNA from 1 species